GAGAAUCUUCCGCAAUGGGCGAAAGCCUGACGGAGCGACGCCGCGUGCGGGAUGAAGGCCUUCGGGUUGUAAACCGCUGUCAGAGGGGAACAAAUUCAUGGGGGUUCUCCCUUGUGAUUGAGUGAUCCUCAGAGGAAGCGCAGGCUAAGUCCGUGCCAGCAGCCGCGGUAACACGGACUGCGCGAACGUUAUUCGGAAUCACUGGGCUUAAAGCGUCCGUAGGCGGCCGUGCAGGUGGGGUGUGAAAUCCCUCGGCUUAACCGAGGAAUGGCGUUCCAAACCACACGGCUUGAGAGAGAUAGAGGUGAGCGGAACUCACGGUGGAGCGGUGAAAUGCGCAGAUAUCAGGAGGAACACCGAUGGCGAAGGCAGGUCACUGGGCCAUUACUGACGCUGAGGAGCGAAAGCAUGGGGAGCGAACA
rnacentral:rRNA from 1 species